GAUGAACGCUAGCUACAGGCUUAACACAUGCAAGUCGAGGGGUAACGAGAGGAAAGCUUGCUUUCCUUGUUGACGACCGGCGCACGGGUGAGUAACGCGUAUCCAACCUGCCCCCAACUAGGGAAUAACCUUGCGAAAGUAAGACUAAUACCCUAUAAUCUCCUCAGAUGUCAUCUGACGAGGAAUAAAGAUUUAUCGGUUGUGGAUGGGGAUGCGUCUGAUUAGCUUGUUGGCGGGGUAACGGCCCACCAAGGCAACGAUCAGUAGGGGUUCUGAGAGGAAGGGCCCCCACAUUGGAACUGAGACACGGUCCAAACUCCUACGGGAGGCAGCAGUGAGGAAUAUUGGUCAAUGGGCGGAAGCCUGAACCAGCCAAGUAGCGUGCAGGAUGACGGCCCUAUGGGUUGUAAACUGCUUUUAUACAGGAAUAAAGUUAGCCACGUGUGGUUAUUUGUAGGUACUGUAUGAAUAAGGACCGGCUAAUUCCGUGCCAGCCGCCGCAGUAA
rnacentral:rRNA from 1 species